AGGCAUGUAGCUCAGUUGGUUAGAGCACCACCUUGACAUGGUGGGGGUCGUUGGUUCGAAUCCAAUCGUGCCUACCA
rnacentral:tRNA from 3 species